GCGGACGUGGUGGAAUUGGUAGACACGCUAGAUUCAGGUUCUAGUGGGCGUAAGCCUGUGGGAGUUCGAGUCUCCCCGUCCGCACCA
rnacentral:tRNA from 1 species